UACAGAGGAUGCAAGCGUUAUCCGGAAUGAUUGGGCGUAAAGCGUCUGUAGGUGGCUUUUUAAGUCCGCCGUCAAAUCCCAGGGCUCAACUCUGGACAGGCGGUGGAAACUACCAAGCUGGAGUACGGUAGGGGCAGAGGGAAUUUCCGGUGGAGCGGUGAAAUGCGUUGAUAUCGGAAGGAACUCCGGCGGCGAAAGCGGUGCACUGGCUGGUUUCUGACGCUGAGGUGCGAAAGCCAGGGGAGCAAACGGG
rnacentral:rRNA from 1 species